UUCUGACUCGGAAUACAUGGUGCAAAAAGCAUGCUCUGUGUCAGCAGCCAAGGCGAGUCAUGUGGGACGUGCGAGCCUCAUCCAUCACAUUCUGCGUUUGGAUCCACUGUUCCGUCUAAGGCUUGAAAUGACAGAGCCGCCACCAGAUGUGAAAUCUGCCUUCGCUCUGUUUGCUGUUUCAUUUCAUCCUUGAUUUCCUGUCACUUUUCGGGGUAUUGAACACAUUACUGAAAGGCUGACUUGACGUCUCCGGCCCUCCUUCAACUCUCUUCGAUUUUUCCUGCCAAAUAUUUUAACAGAGUUACUGCAACUGAAAACAGGGUGUAAAAAGGUUUGCGUUCGUUUAUUGGGGGAAAAAAAUCAGUAAAAUCUUACUGGCAUGUCUGUGGAACUGUUUGAGUCAGAAAUGAUGGACUUUCUAUCCAGACAGUUUGGCUUUUGGAGCCCUGAAUGAUGAAGAUAAUCUGGGGCCUGGGAUGCAGGGGGGCUUGGCAUGGUUCCCACACUGUCCAGCCUGGACCAUAGCCUGGAAGGUGUCACCGAUGCCAUUCCACCUUGGAGACAACAGCCACCAGCCUCAACACAGAGUCAGAUGGAGGAUGCUUGCGGGGAGAAAGGGAGAUACUCUGUGUGUGGGGGGAAAUAAAGAAAAAAAAGGAAACAAUGGAUCCCAUCCUACUUUGAUGCCAGAAAGGGCAGCCCUUUUUCUCUGUGACUUGUGUAAAACUAGAUCAAAAUGUAUGGGAUAAUUUCUCUGCCAUGCAUGAAAGAAUCAUCAUCCAAAGCAUCAUAAUUCCUCCUUGUCUGACUUUGUGCUGUUUCUAUGCCUGUGGAGCAAAAAUGAGAUGAGGCCGAAAUAAAAGAACAUAUUAGUGAGAGUUCCAAAAGGAAGCUCUUGGCUUCUGCUUAAGUAGGAGGGACAUGAGUUAUUCAGACCAGCAAAACAGCAGAAUCCACGUGACUCCAGAGAGUAAGAGAGACACCUUCUCGCCUGCUCAUCUGUGGACCGGUCCAGAUGCCAUGGCGUGAAGCAGGUAUGUGCACAGGUCCGAGUCAGCUGAGCCAGGAGUAAGAACAAAGUCCAGUGGCCUUGCAGUCAGGGGAUCACCAGCAUCCAAGCAUCAGCUGAGGCUGGAAUAUGGAUCUACCUGUUUCCCGCAGGCACAGCUUCUGCCAGCCUGGACUGCUCCAAUCUGCCUCAGGAGAAGAAAUACCUGGAGUGUCUGUUACACAUCCACAAGCCAGGCCCUGCCCUUGAUGUCCCCUCCUGAACCUCCAAGUAUAGCAGAGCGUGAGAAACAGGGGUCUGAACUGUCCAGGUCCACAUAGAUUGUUUCCAACAGUAAAAGAUGCAGCACUACAGGACCUGUGGUGUGGAAUCUGCAGAAGUGAAACCACGGACACAGAGGCACUGUGAGUACAGACGGCCAAGGAGAUGUCACAUGCAGGUUUUGAACUGAGUGGAGAGAGGGUGGGUGCCCCUAAGCCUCGCAUCCUUCAAGGCUCAGCUGCAUGGCAAAGGGACCUGGGAUUCCAAAUUUUAACAAGCACCCGGAUGAGUCUCACCAAGAGGCCCCAGUGGGUAGAGAGCUGGCCAGCUUUUCAUGCCCUCCUUCAGCUAGGAUGCUCCAGGCCUGAUUGGCUUGCCUUUCCCCUAUCUGACUGGUUAGGGAAAAGCUUACAUCUGCAUCCCUUGGCCCAGAGUCAGCCACGGAAUGUCCAGAAAAUACUUGGACACUUUCUGGAUGGACUCAAGUUCACUCCCGUUUUCUGUCCUCAAAUAAGGAGUAUGUCCAAGCAGCAGGGGAUGAACUCUCUCCUUGCAAACAGAUGCCUAUGACGCUAUUUAAAAAAUCUGCAGAGCAAGCUUCAUGCUAAUUGCUUUCAGUUACGCUUGCCUAAUGACACCCAAGUUCUUACAAAUUCAUUACGAGCCCUCUCUGCUUCUCUUUUAUUACUGUACCGUUCUUUUUUUUUAAAUUACUAAUGCUUUAGAUUCAACAUAUAAUUUGAUAGGUAUGUUCAAAAGAACACUCAUGAAAAGUUCUUUUCUCCACAAGGUCGGGAUACUUCCCACUACUGUUUAUAAUAGUUUGCAUGUGCCUCUGAAAUGUAUUUCGUUUUCUUAAAAUCCAUGAGAAGGUGGUAUUUUGAUGCACUUGGAUGAAUUACAGUUGCAUCAUGGAUGCUGGUGCUCGGUCACACAUUUAAUCUAGGCUGGGGAUUUUGUUUCUCCAUAUAUCACGCAGUGCUGAAAAGAAUUCUCUGGUGGAAUAAGAAGGUAGAAUGCACGUGGACACUUAAGUAGGCAUUGAUAGAAUCAUGGAGUAGUAUCUCACUAGUGGCUACAUCUAACAGCUUGAAUGUUUGCUUUUUAAAAAAAUAAUAAUAAAUAAAAAAGACCAUUUCCUG
ensembl:lncRNA